rnacentral:lncRNA from 1 species
GAAAAUCCCGCAAAAGAGUGACGGUGGCGAGGCUCAAGACAAGGGGYGGGAGAGCGGGUGGAAAGCCAGCGCCAACACGCCCCUGCCCAGAAUCCCUGCCCAGACAGACAAGACUAAUACUCUUGCCUUUCCGCGGCCCCGCAGGAUGCAGCCUGCCCUCCCACGCAGAGGUUUGGAAGAGCUGCCCACGUCUCCCUCUUGAAAGAGGAGCAGAGGCAGCACCAAGCAUCGUGGGAGGAACAGCAGGCCGCACUGGAGAAAGAGGCCYGGCGUCAGGCCCAGAUCACACUAGUGGAGCUGCAAUACGCCCUCGAGCAGCGUCGUCGCCCAGACACUGACAUGCCGGGGAGGCCCCCCCAACGGCAAGCGUCCGCRCAAGCAAAGCAGAAYRUGCAGCUUCUGACUUCCUACAAAGUUCUUCGGGACAGGUGGAAGGAAAGGGUGGAACGAAACCAACGGAGGCUGAUGGUGGAGGAGGAGUGGCGCCGGUAAAUACCUGGYAACCCAGGCGYGUUCCCCCCUUUCCGCAAUGCCCUUCCUGCCAUGGCCCUGGGGAAAGAGGGUCUUCUCCAGCCCCGCCUGGAGAAGCACAGAAGCAGCCUUGGAGCCUGGCCUGGCCUCACACAUCCCGCCCACUCCAAGGGGGUGGGGGGUGGGGGUGCACCAUGACAUUUCCAGCAACGUCUCCAGUGGCACAACAUCCUCUUCCUGAACCCCGCAGCRCUUUGGUGAUGCGCCACCUCCAGAAGAGAGAGCAGCAGGACCGUGUGCCGGGCAGUUACCACCAAGAUGGCUUUUAUGCGUGGAAAUAAAGGGCCUUUCCGAGCUGCUGUGAGCCUUUCY